rnacentral:rRNA from 1 species
CGCGUAGGCGGCUUGGCAAGUCAGAUGUGAAAGCCCCCGGGCUUAACCCGGGAAUUGCAUCUGAAACUGCUUUGCUUGAGUCCUGGAGGGGAUAGUGGAAUUCCCAGUGUAGCGGUGAAAUGCGUAGAUAUUGGGAGGAACACCUGCGGCGAAGGCGGCUAUCUGGACAGUGACUGACGCUGAGGCGCGAAAGCUAGGGGAGCGAACGGGAUUAGAUACCCCGGUAGUCCUAGCCGUAAACGAUGGGCACUUGGUGUUGGGGGUAUUGAGUCCCUCGGUGCCGGAGUUAACACGUUAAGUGCCCCGCCUGGGGAGUACGGUCGCGAAGACUGAA